rnacentral:tRNA from 1 species
GGAUAAGGCGUCGGACUUCGGAUCCGAAGAUUGUAGGUUCGAGUCCUGCCAGGGUCG